GGCCCCGUAGCUCAGUUGGAUAGAGCGACGGUUUCCUAAACCGUAGGUCACAGGUUCAAAUCCUGUCGGGGUCACCA
rnacentral:tRNA from 1 species